GGGGAUUUAGCUCAGUGGCAUAAGCACCUGCCUGCCAAGCUCGAGGUUGUGAGUUCAAUUCUCCCCCCCCCCA
rnacentral:tRNA from 1 species